ACGAAUGCAUUUAAGAUAUACAAUGAAUAAUAAAUAUUAGCCAAAACAACUGUCAAACGAUAUUUCGUCGCCCCGCCAUUUCCACCGAAAGCCGUCCAAUCGCAGUGAUCCUAAGGUCCGAUGCGCAAGGGUACGCUGAGAAUCUUCGAGUUCGCGCGGCGCGACAUCUCUCGGCGGAGUCACGAAGUUCAUCGCGGCAACGGGAAAUACCAACAAUGGAAGCGUGUCUGGUUCAACGGUCACCACGGAAUUCUAAAGGCAAAUUGACCAUGUAAUUCAAUCUGGCUCGGGACCCUUUAUUUCGCGCGACAAAAUCACGGUACACUAUCUUUAAAAGAAGGAUCACAGUGGAUUACGGUGAUGCUACAAUUCAAUUACAAUUAAAUACAACGUAUCAAGAAGCUAGUGACGGACGCCAUGAUGAAUCACAACGAGUCAAUGUUUUCAUUCUUCGUUCCCGAUAUAUAUAUAUCGUGAACUCAGCAUUCGGAUAACGAUCUAAAGAAAAUAAGUCGCCGAGUGCGAGAACUUCCUUUAUAUAGAUCGACGACUGAUAGACGCGGAUCAGCCAUCACCCACAGCCACCUCGGAGGAUACUGGGGGACUGGCUGGAUAUCUGCUAUUCGUUUCAGUCCGCUUCGGUCUGCUGGAGCUAUCGUUACCGAUCUCAGAGAGAGCGUUCGAAUUAAUACGCUGUGGAGCGUCAUCAUCACCGUCAUUGUCGAAGAAUAAUACAAGGCAGCCACCGACACGAGCCAUUUGACGUCCAGCGUAUAAUUUGUAUUUAAUUUGUCCGCCAUUUUGAAUAAUAAUAAAAUUAACACCGAACCCUGAAUCGCGAGAAGACUUCAAAAUGUCCGGAAGCGAAGAUUCUCAUGCGAGACUGAAUUUUUCACCGUCGCUCCAGGCGGAACGCUUUCGCGACGCCGUUAGACAUACAUGGCGACGGCGUGUGUGCAGCCACAGCGCCUCCCCUCGGGAUGCACAAAGUGCGCCGCCAUUAAGAUAUGAAAUCUGCAUCGACAUUGACGAUCGUAUCGGACGCUACCAAUUGUAUUUUCAACAGAGCCUCAAAUCCUGUACGAUUCGAAUUAAUUAAAUAUCGAAGAAACUCGUUGACCGAUCGUGCGUCUUUAAGUGCGAUAAAUGAAAUUUAAUUAAUACUAUAAGAUUCUCGUCUAAAUGUCUAAUGCAUUCUUAAAUUCAUAAUUCUUAUUCAAGACCAUACAAGAAGUAGAGUCCUCGUAACCGAUACAAGGGUUGUGCUAUAUUUUCAUGAGAACUCUGGUACCACUGUGUAUAUAAGUAGAAUACUACAGUUGAUACUACGGUGUGCAUAAACGAGAAGAAGGCCCUUUCAUGCGGAGAAACGAUAAAAGCAGGAAACGUGGUACACGAGGGUGAGCCAAGAGUAUUUAUCACUGGAAGGGCUUUAAAAAGAUAAAAAAAAAAAUAAGAAAAAAGAAAGAAAGAAUGCACAAUGCAAGCGAGUGCGGUUCGCCGGGAAUGAGACGGGCGAUGCAGUACAGGUAGAUUUAUGGGGGCUCAGGGGGUCCGUGUUUGUGUCGCAGGUCAGCCUGUGGUUCACGGUCACCUCACCUUACCUUACCA